rnacentral:lncRNA from 1 species
CAGCUGCUGAAUUGGUGAAUUCCCUAGCGUAUUCAUUGACUUGUGGUCUGGAAAAUACAUCAGAUGGGCUAACUUCUCAGUUAAGCCUCCAAAUGCAGGCCUGUGUUUUUAUAUAAACAACAAACUUGUCUAAUCGGCCGUUUUCCUCCUUUCCAGGUAUAGGUUGUGCAAGAAGCUUUCAGAUCAAACAACAGACCUGGAAGGCACUGAACCCGUGUGGUGAAAUCUACUGUGCAUCUUGGCAACAACGGCCCUGUGUGCCUUGGGCUGACAUCAUGUCUUUGUGGUCAUACAAAAGUAAGACCAGUACAAAAUUUAGCUGGAAGCAGUUAAAUUUUACUGUGAGAUACAGCACAGAAAAAAAUGGAAGAAUUCAAACAAACCUCCCAAGAUUUUUCCAGGGGCGAGAUUAUUAAAGGCACAAAUGAUACUCCCGUGGGCAGGCUUCCACUUUGCCAUGUUCUAAUGCCAUUUAAAGUCACCUCUGCC